rnacentral:rRNA from 1 species
AUUGAACGCUGGCGGCAGGCCUAACACAUGCAAGUCGAGCGAGCGGCGGACGGGUGAGUAUUGUAUGGGGAAUGUCCGAUAGAGGGGGAUAACUACUGGAAACGGUAGCUCAUACAGCAUAUUAUCUGAUUACCCAUAUGGGAUUAGCUAGUUGGUGGGGUAAUGGCUCACCAAGGCGACGAUCCCUAGCUGGUCUGAGAGGAUGAUCAGCCACACUGGAACUGAGACACGGCCCAGACUCCUACGGAGGCAGCAGUGGGGAAUAUUGCACAAUGGGCGCAAGCCUGAUGCAGCCAUGCCGCGUGUAUGAAGAAGGCCUUAGGGUUGUAAAGUACUUUCAGUCGGGAGGCGUUACCGGCAGAAGAAGCACCGGCUAACUCCGUGCCAGCAGCCGCGGUAAUAC